rnacentral:rRNA from 1 species
AGUGAACGCUGGCGGUAGGCCUAACACAUGCAAGUCGAACGGCAGCACAGUAAGAGCUUGCUCUUACGGGUGGCGAGUGGCGGACGGGUGAGGGAUACAUCGGAAUCUACUUUUUCGUGGGGGAUAACGUAGGGAAACUUACGCUAAUACCGCAUACGACCUACGGGUGAAAGCAGGGGAUCUUCGGACCUUGCGCGAUUGAAUGAGCCGAUGUCGGAUUAGCUAGUUGGCGGGGUAAAGGCCCACCAAGGCGACGAUCCGUAGCUGGUCUGAGGGGAUGAUCAGCCACACUGGAACUGAGACACGGUCCAGACUCCUACGGGAGGCAGCAGUGGGGAAUAUUGGACAAUGGGCGCAAGCCUGAUCCAGCCAUACCGCGUGGGUGAAGAAGGCCUUCGGGUUGUAAAGCCCUUUUGUUGGGAAAGAAAAGCAGCAGGUUAAUACCCCGCUGCUCUGACGGUACCCAAAGAAUAAGCACCGGCUAACUUCGUG